CUACCUACGGGCCGCAGCAGUAGGGAAUUUUCGUCAAUGGGCGCAAGCCUGACCGCUCAAUGCCGCGUGAACGAGGAAGGCCUUCGGAUCGUAAAGUUCUGUUGAAGGGGAAAAAGAGCGGAGAGAGGAAAUGGUCUCCGAUUGAUAUUACCCUUCGAGGAAGUCACGGCUAACUACGUGCCAGCAGCCGCGGUAAUACGUAGGUGGCGAGCGUUAUCCGGAAUGAUUGGGCGUAAAGGGUGCGUAGGCGGCCUGCUAAGUCUGGAGUGAAAGGUACCGGCUCAACCGGUACAGGCCCUGGAAAC
rnacentral:rRNA from 1 species